rnacentral:rRNA from 1 species
UUAAGCGACUAAGCGUACACGGUGGAUGCCCUGGCAGUCAGAGGCGAUGAAGGACGUGCUAAUCUGCGAAAAGCGUCGGUAAGGUGAUAUGAACCGUUACAGCCGGCGAUGUCCGAAUGGGGAAACCCAGUGCAAUUCGUUGCACUAUCGUUAACUGAAUACAUAGGUUAACGAGGCGAACCGGGGGAACUGAAACAUCUAAGUACCCCGAGGAAAAGAAAUCAACCGAGAUUCCCCCAGUAGCGGCGAGCGAACGGGGAGCAGCCCAGAGUCUGAAUCAGCUUGUGUGUUAGUGGAACGGUCUGGAAAGUCCGACGGUACAGGGUGAUAGUCCCGUACACCAAAAUGCACAGGUUGUGAACUCGAAGAGUAGGGCGGGACACGUGGUAUCCUGUCUGAAUAUGGGGGGACCAUCCUCCAAGGCUAAAUACUCCUGACUGACCGAUAGUGAACCAGUACCGUGAGGGAAAGGCGAAAAGAACCCCGGCGAGGGGAGUGAAAAAGAACCUGAAACCGUGUACGUACAAGCAGUGGGAGCACCUUCGGGUGUGACUGCGUACCUUUUGUAUAAUGGGUCAGCGACUUAUAUUCUGUAGCAAGGUUAACCGUAUAGGGGAGCCGCAGGGAAACCGAGUCUUAACUGGGCGUUAAGUUGCAGGGUAUAGACCCGAAACCCGGUGAUCUAGCCAUGGGCAGGUUGAAGGUUGGGUAACACUAACUGGAGGACCGAACCGACUAAUGUUGAAAAAUUAGCGGAUGACUUGUGGCUGGGGGUGAAAGGCCAAUCAAACCGGGAGAUAGCUGGUUCUCCCCGAAAGCUAUUUAGGUAGCGCCUCGUGAACUCAUCUUCGGGGGUAGAGCACUGUUUCGGCUAGGGGGUCAUCCCGACUUACCAACCCGAUGCAAACUACGAAUACCGAAGAAUGUUAUCACGGGAGACACACGGCGGGUGCUAACGUCCGUCGUGAAGAGGGAAACAACCCAGACCGCCAGCUAAGGUCCCAAAGUCAUGGUUAAGUGGGAAACGAUGUGGGAAGGCACAGACAGCCAGGAUGUUGGCUUAGAAGCAGCCAUCAUUUAAAGAAAGCGUAAUAGCUCACUGGUCGAGUCGGCCUGCGCGGAAGAUGUAACGGGGCUAAACCAUGCACCGAAGCUGCGGCAGCGACACUAUGUGUUGUUGGGUAGGGGAGCGUUCUGUAAGCCUGCGAAGGUGUGCUGUGAGGCAUGCUGGAGGUAUCAGAAGUGCGAAUGCUGACAUAAGUAACGAUAAAGCGGGUGAAAAGCCCGCUCGCCGGAAGACCAAGGGUUCCUGUCCAACGUUAAUCGGGGCAGGGUGAGUCGACCCCUAAGGCGAGGCCGAAAGGCGUAGUCGAUGGGAAACAGGUUAAUAUUCCUGUACUUGGUGUUACUGCGAAGGGGGGACGGAGAAGGCUAUGUUAGCCGGGCGACGGUUGUCCCGGUUUAAGCAUGUAGGCUGGUUAUCCAGGCAAAUCCGGAUAAUCAAGGCUGAGGUGUGAUGACGAGGCACUACGGUGCUGAAGUAACAAAUGCCCUGCUUCCAGGAAAAGCCUCUAAGCAUCAGGUAACAUCAAAUCGUACCCCAAACCGACACAGGUGGUCAGGUAGAGAAUACCAAGGCGCUUGAGAGAACUCGGGUGAAGGAACUAGGCAAAAUGGUGCCGUAACUUCGGGAGAAGGCACGCUGGUGUGUAGGUGAAGCCCCUGCGGAUGGAGCUGAGACCAGUCGAAGAUACCAGCUGGCUGCAACUGUUUAUUAAAAACACAGCACUGUGCAAACACGAAAGUGGACGUAUACGGUGUGACGCCUGCCCGGUGCCGGAAGGUUAAUUGAUGGGGUUAUCCGUAAGGAGAAGCUCUUGAUCGAAGCCCCGGUAAACGGCGGCCGUAACUAUAACGGUCCUAAGGUAGCGAAAUUCCUUGUCGGGUAAGUUCCGACCUGCACGAAUGGCGUAAUGAUGGCCAGGCUGUCUCCACCCGAGACUCAGUGAAAUUGAACUCGCUGUGAAGAUGCAGUGUACCCGCGGCAAGACGGAAAGACCCCGUGAACCUUUACUAUAGCUUGACACUGAACAUUGAGCCUUGAUGUGUAGGAUAGGUGGGAGGCUUUGAAGCGUGGACGCCAGUCUGCGUGGAGCCAACCUUGAAAUACCACCCUUUAAUGUUUGAUGUUCUAACGUUGGCCCCUUACCGGGGUUGCGGACAGUGUCUGGUGGGUAGUUUGACUGGGGCGGUCUCCUCCCAAAGCGUAACGGAGGAGCACGAAGGUUAGCUAAUCCUGGUCGGACAUCAGGAGGUUAGUGCAAUGGCAUAAGCUAGCUUGACUGCGAGCGUGACGGCGCGAGCAGGUGCGAAAGCAGGUCAUAGUGAUCCGGUGGUUCUGAAUGGAAGGGCCAUCGCUCAACGGAUAAAAGGUACUCCGGGGAUAACAGGCUGAUACCGCCCAAGAGUUCAUAUCGACGGCGGUGUUUGGCACCUCGAUGUCGGCUCAUCACAUCCUGGGGCUGAAGUAGGUCCCAAGGGUAUGGCUGUUCGCCAUUUAAAGUGGUACGCGAGCUGGGUUUAGAACGUCGUGAGACAGUUCGGUCCCUAUCUGCCGUGGGCGCUGGAGAAUUGAGGGGGGCUGCUCCUAGUACGAGAGGACCGGAGUGGACGCAUCACUGGUGUUCGGGUUGUCAUGCCAAUGGCACUGCCCGGUAGCUAAAUGCGGAAGAGAUAAGUGCUGAAAGCAUCUAAGCACGAAACUUGCCCCGAGAUGAGUUCUCCCUGAGACUUUAAGUCUCCUGAAGGAACGUUGAAGACGACGACGUUGAUAGGCCGGGUGUGUAAGCGCAGCGAUGCGUUGAGCUAACCGGUACUAAUGAACCGUGAGGCUUAACCUU